AACGAACGCUGGCGGCAUGCCUAACACAUGCAAGUCGAACGAGACCUUCGGGUCUAGUGGCGCACGGGUGCGUAAGGCGUGGGAACCUGCCCUUAGGUUCGGAAUAACUCCCCGAAAGGGGUGCUAAUACCGGAUAAUGUCUUCGGACCAAAGAUUUAUCGCCUUUGGGUGGGCCCGCGUUGGAUUAGCUAGUUGGUAGUGUAAAAGCCUACCAAGGCGACGAUCCAUAGCUGGUCUGUGAGGAUGAUCCGCCACACUGGAACUGCGACACGGCCCAGACCCCGACGGGAGGCAGCAGUGGGGUAUAUUGGACAAGGAGCGAAAGCCUGAUCCAGCAAUGCCGCGUGAGUGAUGAAGGCCUUAGGGUUGUAAAGCUCUUUUACCCGGGAUGAUAAUGACAGUACCGGGAGAAUAAGCUCCGGCUAACUCCGUG
rnacentral:rRNA from 1 species